rnacentral:rRNA from 1 species
GGCUCAGGACGAACGCUGGCGGCGUGCCUAAUACAUGCAAGUCGAGCGGACAGAUGGGAGCUUGCUCCCUGAUGUUAGCGGCGGACGGGUGAGUAACACGUGGGUAACCUGCCUGUAAGACUGGGAUAACUCCGGGAAACCGGGGCUAAUACCGGAUGCUUGUUUGAACCGCAUGGUUCAAACAUAAAAGGUGGCUUCGGCUACCACUUACAGAUGGACCCGCGGCGCAUUAGCUAGUUGGUGAGGUAACGGCUCACCAAGGCGACGAUGCGUAGCCGACCUGAGAGGGUGAUCGGCCACACUGGGACUGAGACACGGCCCAGACUCCUACGGGAGGCAGCAGUAGGGAAUCUUCCGCAAUGGACGAAAGUCUGACGGAGCAACGCCGCGUGAGUGAUGAAGGUUUUCGGAUCGUAAAGCUCUGUUGUUAGGGAAGAACAAGUGCCGUUCAAAUAGGGCGGCACCUUGACGGUACCUAACCAGAAAGCCACGGCUAACUACGUGCCAGCAGCCGCGGUAAUACGUAGGUGGCAAGCGUUGUCCGGAAUUAUUGGGCGUAAAGGGCUCGCAGGCGGUUUCUUAAGUCUGAUGUGAAAGCCCCCGGCUCAACCGGGGAGGGUCAUUGGAAACUGGGGAACUUGAGUGCAGAAGAGGAGAGUGGAAUUCCACGUGUAGCGGUGAAAUGCGUAGAGAUGUGGAGGAACACCAGUGGCGAAGGCGACUCUCUGGUCUGUAACUGACGC